rnacentral:rRNA from 1 species
UGCGUAGACGGUUAUGUAAGUCGGGUGUGAAAGCCCUGGGCUCAACCUGGGAAUUGCAUUCGAAACUGCAUAGCUAGGGUGCGGAAGAGGGAAGCGGAACUUCCGGUGUAGCGGUGAAAUGCGUAGAUAUCGGAAAGAACACCAGUGGCGAAAGCGGCUUCCUGGUCCAGCACCGACGUUCAGGCACGAAAGCGUGGGGAGCAAACAGGAUUAGAUACCCUGGUAGUCCACGCCAUAAACGAUGAGAACUAGACGUUGAGAGGGUAAGCCUCACAGUGUCGUAGCUAACGCGCUAAGUUCUCCGCCUGGGGAGUACGGCCGCAAGGUUGGA